AUUGAACGCUGGCGGAAUGCUUUACACAUGCAAGUCGAACGGCAGCACGGACUUCGGUCUGGUGGCGAGUGGCGAACGGGUGAGUAAUAUAUCGGAACGUGCCCAGUCGUGGGGGAUAACGUAGCGAAAGCUACGCUAAUACCGCAUACGAUCUACGGAUGAAAGCGGGGGAUCGCAAGACCUCGCGCGAUUGGAGCGGCCGAUAUCAGAUUAGGUAGUUGGUGAGGUAAAGGCUCACCAAGCCGACGACCUGUAGCUGGUCUGAGAGGACGACCAGCCACACUGGGACUGAGACACGGCCCAGACUCCUACGGGAGGCAGCGGUGGGGAAUUUUGGACAAUGGACGCAAGUCUGAUCCAGCCAUUCCGCGUGCAGGACGAAGGCCUUCGGGUUGUAAACUGCUUUUGUACAGAACGAAAAGGUCUCUAUUAAUACUAGGGGCUCAUGACGGUACUGUAAGAAUAAGCACCGGCUAACUACGUGCCAGCCGCCGCGGUAA
rnacentral:rRNA from 1 species